rnacentral:lncRNA from 1 species
UGAAGCAGCUUCCGGCGCCUAAUGACCUCAUUGCACAGAGGAGGAGUCCAUCAGGGACCACCCAAACUUCCCACUCGGAAAUGCAGGAUGCCGGAGCUGGGAGGUGGAGCCAGCGUUUCCCUGCCCAGGUUGACGACAUAAAAAGCCCAUUGUAACUCUUCAAGAGGCUGAUGUUUGGCUCGAGCGUACGAGCAAUGUCCUAGAUAUAGGCUUCUGAUCAGCCUGGGUCCUGGCGGGGAGAUGACACCGAGCAGAGCCACCAUUGAGCUGCACUGGAUAAUGUAGUAUGAGUGAGAAAUAAAUCCUUGCUGUUGAAAGCUAUUGAGAUGUUGGGGUCAUUUGUCACGGCGGCAUAAGUGAUCCUAUCCUAACUGAUACAUCACUCUCUCUCUAUCACAACACGGAUUUCCAGGGUAGGGCUCAGAGGGGGUGGUCAUUUUCCUGGAAGACUGAAUUAAUUAAUUCACGCAAAAAGCUAUAUUUGCGUGAAUUAAUUAAUAGUCACGCAAAAAGCUAUAUUUGAGGGGUAAAAUCUGGUCGAAGUGGCCCCCUUCCAGUGUGUGUAUUGAAAGGGAUUCAUUCUUUAGCAGCUGGAAAGAGCUUUGAAGAUAAAUGCACGUAGAGGGCUGAUUGGAGCCUCCUACCUGACCUCGUGGGUCCCUCGCUUCCUCUCUCUUUCCUGAAGCCCUUUGAAGAGACUCCAGUGCACAAGACGACCCUGGAAGGAGUGGGGACACCCCAGCCUUGGGCCAGCUGACAUACUGGAAGAAAAAGCAGGUGAGGGGAGAAUGUCCAUAUGCUGGGAGACUGAUGAGAGAGGAAGGAGGCCGGGCUGGGCAGAGGCCUCUGUGCCUGGGAGCCUCUGAAAGCACCGCUCCGGCGAGGCACGCUCACUGUGGACUUCACAAUAGAGCUGCCCGGGCUGGAGGAUGACAGGAAUGUCCCGAUUGCUUGAUUUCCCUUUCUCAUUAAAGCAGUGGCAAUGAGGAAGGACAAAUGGUGCUGCAUGGCGCUUCCCUGUUCUCCAUUAUCACCGAGAGAGGCUGUCAGCAAGAGGCUCAUUUGGUGCCAUUUUCAUUCCUUGUCACUUUUCCUUCUCUUUCUUUUAUUUAUUCACAGUGCUAGUGAGGUUCCCUUAACGAUCCCCAUCCACACAGCAAACACACCACAAUGAAACAUAACGAGAGAGAGAGGGGGGCAUGAGAAAUUAAUCCAUCCUAAUGAUAAAGAUCAUUAUGGAGACAGAGAAAGAAGGAAGGGAAACAACACAUUUCAUUCUAAUUAGGCCCGAAAGCUCAUUACCGAGAGCAAGGAAAAAAGUGAUCAAGUAGCUGCGUCCUGAAAAAUCCCUUCUCCGGUUCCCUGGGAGCACGACCGCAAAAAAAAAAAAAAAACUACCACGACGGGUUGAUGGUUCCCAAACUGGGGCUCCUCGUGGUAGUCUUGGGGGUGGAAAAUUGCAGGGAAGGUUGCAUGUUUUUUCCUAGACACUAAAAAAAUGUUUAACUGAAAUAAUUAUUUUACUCCUGAUAACCCUGCGUAGGCAGACAAACUAGAAAUGUCAAGUUUGUUUGGGGCUGGAAUUCCAUCAGCUCAGUGGUACCCCUAGCUUGCUGACACCAAUCAGAGGCCUAAUGGGUUGUCAGUAACAUCAUAAGCAUUUCUGGGAUCUCAGCGGCAGCCCAUGCCACAUCUGGGAACAUGGCACUCAUGCCGAAAGGAGCCUCAAGUUCUUCACGGCAAUGCUACUGCACAGCUAGCCAUGUCUUUGCUUCAUUGCACAGGGAGAAAAGAAUAAAUAAUUAUUUAAUCAGUUUAGGAAAAAAAAUCUUUUGAAACAUGAGGUUCACAGGGGGUAAAAUAAUAAAACAGGUCUUUGGCAGUUAAGGGGAAGCAGGAAGGAAAUGGGAAAACAGAGGAGGAAAGGGGCAUUAGCAUUUAUUGAUCGUCUGCCAAUACCAAGCACUAUGCUAAGUGCAACAAAUAAAUGAAUAAGUAAAUAAUCCCAUUUAAUCCUCACAACCACACUCGUGGGGGUAGGUGGGGGGAUGGAUCACUUAUUUAUUCAUUUCACAAGUAUUUAUGAGAACCUACUAGGAACCAGGCAUGGUUUUGAAGUGCUGGAAACACAGCAACAAACAAAAGAAACUGCCUGUCCUAUGGAGCUCUUAACGACUAAAUAAACACUCAGACACAUACACACGUGUGUGUAAGUGUACAUAUACAGGUAUACAUGUAAAGACAUAUGCAUGUUUAUUUUUAUUUUUUUGAGAUGGAGUUUUGCUCUUGUUGCCCAGGCUGGAGUAUAACG